CUUAAACAUUAAGAAUUAAAAUUUUCACCGCUCUAACUUCCCGCCCCAAGUUCCCUUUCCUCCCUCAAAUUUGAAAUUUUCAACCCUACCCCUACAUUCCUUACUCUGUUGUUUAUCGUUUCUGAUCCUCCCCAAAUGAUAGAUUUAUCAUCCCGCUUUUGUUCUCUACCACAUUUAACGACAGCAUCAUCUCAGCGGCAGUGGCUCAGCGAUGACAUUUUGGGUACUUCAUUUGUGGCCAAGGUUUCAAGUAUUGAAGCAACUGAAAAUCUAACAUUUGAAACUUCUAAAGUUUAACUAAAAACUUUGAUGUACUAUUUUCAGGUCUUGAGAGGGAUCCACCUGAAGUAGUAGUGGAUAUUAGGUAUAUAUUUUUCUAUAAAUGGCUAUUGAACAACAAAAUAUAGGUUUUAUAUAGUAUGUUGAGUGAAUGCCUACCAAGUGUUUGAUCAAAUGUCUGAGUGAGUGUUAAAAACACAGUGGUCUCCACAAUUUAACAAACGCAAUGGCGGCAUAUGUAGAUGUUGUUUGCUUAAAAUAGUGAUACAAAUAGCUUAUAGAUUAGAUGACGCAAUAGGGUAUGUUUCAUAAAAUGGUAUACUAAUUGUUAUUGUCAAUGUUACCCAUGUAUGUAGACAAAUGGUUUCAUAGUGUAUGUUUCUCUUUGAAUUGAUUCA